UAUAUGUACAGUCUAUGGUCCACACGUAGCCGGAGAUAUUUUUCUACGUUUUGGCCUGCCAUCCACACGAAAACGGAGGUUUUUCACAUGAAAACAGAUCUUUUUAAAAACUCCGGCCAAAGUGAAUAUCUGCGUUUUCUCCGUUUUGGGUGUCUGUGUGUGGACAGACAAAACCGGAGUUUUAAGCUCCGCAACGUCACUUUCCGUGACAAAAAAAUGCUGACAUCACGUGUGCGACCUGUGUUUACACUAGCCGACAGCAUAGAUGCCCUCAGAGCUGCGCUCGCUUUAUCAAUUGUCCAAGCACUUUUUGCUUGUUUGUUUUUGCAAGCGGAAUUACUGCUCCUUGUGGAAGACCACAGACGAAGGACGAGGUUAAGAACGGGGGAAGUACUGCCGCCUACAGGUCUGGUAUGUCCUUAACAACGUAUUUAUCCGGGUAUGUGUGGACAGAGUUUUUUUUUUUAAACGAGGUGGUGUGGAUGCAAGUUUUUGGAGGGGCAGAUAAUCGUUUUUUUAAAAAAAAACCUGGCUACGUGUGGACUAGGCCUCAGAAACAUCAUGAAUAAACAGCAUUCAGUGGUGGAACGUCUGGUGAUUGGAACUAUUGAGCUGACUCGCUUUACUUCAUUAUUUUCAUUGAUGUCAGUGGGAGUGUGUCAUGAGCCAGGGUGAGUACUCCUCCUUAUUCCACCUCUGAGCUGUGUGUUGCAGGAGAGGGAGGUUCCAAGCUGCAUCUCGUUGGCAAUCAGUGGGCCCGGCUACUUAAGGAGGAUGGAGAACACACCUUGACGCCGGAUGAUUACUACUGCUUGGUAGUGCUCUUGAGUUUCUUGGACUAUUGUGAACGUUGGAUUUCUGUGAUUACCUGUCUCCAGGUUUUUGAACGUCUCUGAUUCAGCGACUCCUCUGGAUUACUCACCCAUGCUUCAUAGGACUUCUGGACACAGCUCUCAACCGUUCUCCAUUCCUCCUAACUGACUGGCUCUCCUGACCUCCUCACGCUCCCUCUCCUGGACCCCUCACUUUAUACCCUGGCUCUCAACCUGCCCUCCCUCAUUCUGAUUCUUCCCCAUCUCCAGAUGCUGUGCUCCCGUUUCUCGAUCCCCACUGGACUUACCAGUGCACCUUCAGUUCCCGUUUAUAAAUUUUAUUUUUUUUUACCAUCAAUCUGUGAGCUGUUGUUUUUCUGCAUGUCUUGGGUUAGAUGUAUUCCCCAGAUCAUGACAGUGUCUGAACUCUGUUAUGAACGGUACUGAUUCUGUGCUACUAAUGGUAAUAUUAAAAAUUAAUUUGAAAUUUCUGGAUUUUACACAUGAGAAUUUUCAUAUUCCUAAAUGUAAAUGGUAAAAAAAAAAAAAAAAAAAAACUCUGUUCAAGGACUACAAAAGGACAAAAUCUUUAAAAUUAGAACACAUUCCUUCUCUACUUAAAGUUCUCCCUGUUAUGUGCUUUCCCCAUCUAGUGGCAUGCUGGGGUAAUUCAGCAUUGGAUUAAUUUUCAUGAUCAAAGAAAAUGGACAUCUGUUAAACACCCAUGAAUAGAACCUAAAAAUGUACUAUUUCCCAAGAUUUCUAAAUGUAAUUGUCCCUCACCUCAAGAGGUUUUUUUUUAUUUUUCAAAGCAAAAAUAAUCAUAUUUUCCUGUUUGAAUUUCUAGGAAAAAUAAAAUCAAAUUUUUGAA